AUGUUUCCCUUGGUCAAAAACAAACUCAGUCAUCUCCAAGUUCGAAGCAUUCAGCAAACAAUGGCAAGGCAGAGCCACCAGAAACAUACACCUGAUUUUCAUAACAAAUAUGGUAAUACUGUAUUAGCUAGUGGACCCACUUUCUGUAUUGCUAUGUGGACAUAUAUAACAACACAAAUUGGAAUAGAAUGGAACCCAUCCCCUGUUGGCAGAGUCACCCCCCAAAAUGGAGAGAACAGUAA
rnacentral:lncRNA from 1 species